GGCUAACGCUGGCGGCGUGUCUUAGCCAUGCAAGUCGAGCGGACUUAUGGGGUAACUUAUAAGUCAGCGGCGGACGGCGGAGUAACACGUAGCUAACCUACCCUCUGGACGGGGAUAACCUACCGAAAGGUGGGCUAAUACCCGAUGUAGUCAUCCUGUAUAGGGGUGAUGAAAGGUGGGCUUCUGUUUACAAGCUCAUGCUGGAGGAGGGGGCUGCGGCCUAUCAGGUAGUUGGUAGGGUAAUAGCCUACCAAGCCGAUGACGGGUAGCCGGCCUGAGAGGGUGACCGGCCCGAGGGGCACUGAGAUACGGGUCCCACUCCUACGGGAGGCAGCAGGCUAGAAAUUUGGGCAAUGGGGGAAACCCUGACCCAGUGACGCCGCGUGCAGGAAGGAGCCCUUCGGGGUGUAAACUGCUGUCGUGUAGGGAGAAGGGUACUAAGGUGAACAAUCUUAGUACUUGACGGUACUACAGGAGGAAGCCCAGGCUAACCUCGUGCCAGCAGCCGCGGUAAGAGUACUCUAU
rnacentral:rRNA from 1 species